rnacentral:rRNA from 1 species
GAUGAACGCUGGCGGCGUGCUUAACACAUGCAAGUCGAACGAUGAAGCCCAGCUUGCUGGGUGGAUUAGUGGCGAACGGGUGAGUAACACGUGAGUAACCUGCCCUUAACUCUGGGAUAAGCCUGGGAAACUGGAUCUAAUACCGGAUAGGAGCGUCCACCGCAUGGUGGGUGUUGGAAAGAUUUAUCGGUUUUGGAUGGACUCGCGGCCUAUCAGCUUGUUGGUGAGGUAAUGGCUCACCAAGGCGACGACGGGUAGCCGGCCUGAGAGGGUGACCGGCCACACUGGGACUGAGACACGGCCCAGACUCCUACGGGAGGCAGCAGUGGGGAAUAUUGCACAAUGGGCGAAAGCCUGAUGCAGCGACGCCGCGUGAGGGAUGACGGCCUUCGGGUUGUAAACCUCUUUCAGUAGGGAAGAAGCGAAAGUGACGGUACCUGCAGAAGAAGCACCGGCUAACUACGUG